rnacentral:lncRNA from 1 species
CUCGGGGAAACAUGCCUCCCUAAUCUAGGACUAAGGACUUGGAUGUCUUUCUUUUCUUUUGCAUUGGGACUUUUGUCCUCUUUCUUUCUUUUAUCUUUUUUUAGAGAUCAGCCAUCCCUUCUAAUGUGCUGAUAACAACAGGGAGUAUACUCUGAAAUAACUGAAGCUUUAUUGGAUAAGUAGAAUAAGACAUAAUGGCAAUUGAUAUUUUUGGGUAUUCCCUCCCAGUCUAGGAGUAGAAUAUUUUCUAAGUGGAUAUGGAAUGUAUAUGGGUGGAUGAAGGACUACGUACUCCAAGUGUAGGAGUAGCAUCGGUGCGUGUUUCCAGGAUAGAAACAGCACAGAGUAUAGUGCCUAUGUGUGGGUGGUACUUCCAGGAACAAAAGUAGCACAUAGUGAAUGUGGUGGAUGUAAGUGGUUGUGUACUUCUAAGGGUAGAAGUAGCUAAGAUCAUUGGAUGGAGAGCACAUAAUAUUGAUUUUAACUGCAUGACUAGUUCCUUAGGGUCUACGCAACUUAACUACCCUCAAAGCUUAUAGGUUGAAAUAUAAGUGGAGGUUUUCCUAAUCUAGCAAGCAUGAGUAUUUGGCUGUGGUAGG